CACUGAGCCACAUCCCCAGCCCUAUUUUGUAUUUUAUUUUGAGACAGGGACUUACUGAGUUGCUUAGUGCCUCGCUUUUGAUGAGGCUGCCUUUGAACUUGUGAUCCUCCUGCCUCAGCCUCCCAAGCUGCUGGAAUUACAGGUGUGCGCCACCAUGCCCAGCUGAACUUUGUCUUUUGAAACAGAAAUGGGAAGAUCCUUAAUAACAGUGCUAAUAAUUUGCCUACAGUGAACAUUAGUUGACUCCUCAGCUCCCCACAGAAUUGGGUUUUGAACCUAGAGGAUCAUAUAAAUUAAACACUCUACCAUUGAGCUACAUUCCCAGCCCUUUAAAAAAAAAUUAUUGUGAUACAGGUUCUUGCUAAUUUGCCUGGGCUGACCUUGAACUUGUGAUUCUACUGCCUCAGCCUCCUGAGUUACUGGGGUUAGAGGCAUACCACUACAUCCAGCCUAGUUGACAUUUUAACACAAUAAUCAUUGUGCAGAAGUAAAAAUCCACACAGACUAGGGAGGCAGAAUAGUAUUUGUCCAUCGUCUCAUAGAAUCAUCAGUUGAUAGACAAGCUAAAAUUAAAACUCUAUAGACUGAUUCCUUCCAUUCUUUUUUUUUUCCCAAAAUGCCCGAAUGGAAUAAUUGUAAAUAGCUGAAUGUGGUUAGUGCUGUUCUAAGCACUUUAUGUGGAUUAACCCAUUUAAUCCUCAUGACCAUAGGAAGAUUCAAUUAUUAAUCCAAUUUUACAGAUGAAAAAAAUGAGGCUAGUCAUUUGGCAUAAAUCACCACAGCUGGUAAGGACUUUAGAGAGCAUUUAAUCCAUGCAUUUAUAUUACAAGGGAACAGCAAAGGCACUGGGGGGUGAGGAUUUCCUGCACCUUCAUGUGGAUUCACUAAAAGUUGUAUUCAGUGAAACCUGCUAUCCAUAUUCAACUGAACUAGGUGCCUUUUUUUCCACUUUAGUAAUUUACAUUGAAUAGGAGGACUAUUUAUAGUUAUAUUGGGGAAAGAAGUACAUUUUAUUUUGUAUCAACUUUCUUUCCUGCUUAAAAACAUUUUGAUUACUUUACCAGUCGUUUUAGUGCUUUUUUUCCUCACAAUUAAAAAAAAUUGUUCUAAUUAGUUAAACAUGACAGUAGAAUGCAUUUUAAAAAAAAGUUUAUUUAUUUAUUUUUUCAUGUGGUGCUGAGGAUAAAACUCAGUGACUCACACAUGCUAGGCAAUUGUCUACCACUGAGCUACAACCCCAGCCCCAGAAUGAAUUUUUUAAAAAAUUAAAUUAAAAAAUACUAUACACAUUAGGCAAAAUGGGACGAAUGUAUUUAUCUUAGUUUAUUUUAAAAAGUGACCUGCCUAAAACCUAAGUCUAUAUCCUCGCUUGGAAUCCAAUGACCUUUUUAUUUUUUGUGCUACUGGGGAUUGUACGCAGGGGUGCUCUACCACUGAGUUAUAUCCCCCUCACUUUUUGGUUUUUUAUUUUGAGAUGGGGCCUUGCUAAAUUGCAGAGGCUGACCUUGAACUUGUGAUCCUCCUGCCUCAUCUUCCCAAAUAGUUGGGAUUAUAGAUGGUGUCACCAGGCCUGUCUCCAAUGCCCUUUUAUUGCUCUACUCUAGUCUCAAAGGUGAAUUUAUAAACACGAUUUCAGAUAAAAUGUAGGAGCUAUAUUUAAUUGUGUUGGGUUGCCUUUUGUCAUUAAAGAAUUUAGAAAGUUUGGACAAGUUAGGGAUGGAUUUCCAUUUAUCCUAGAUGGAAUUUACUGCUAUUUCUGUAUUAAAGGUUAAUAGCUAUAUUAGGAUUUUGUCUUAAAAGAUAUUAUCACUGAGGUUACCACUUAGCUCUAGCCAGGGUUUGAUAAAUUUCUGUGUAGCUGGGCUGUAAGUAUUUUCAACCUUGCACUCUGUGUCUCAGCUGUUCCAUUCUGCCAUAGAUAGCAUGUAAAUGAAUGAGCAUGGCCGUGUUCCAACAAAACUUAAUUGACACAGAAAUUUGAAUUUCAUAUCAUUUUCACGUGUCACGAAUGUUCUUUUGAUGUUUAAAAGCCCUUUAAAAUUGUGAAACCCAUUCUUAACUUUGCAGGCUGAACAAAAACAGGAAGCAGGCUGGGUUUGGCUUGUGUACUAUGGUUUUUCCCACACUUGCUGUUGGUCAGGAACACAGCAGUGUAUCAUGAUCUGUGGUAAAUUAUAUGGCCAACAAUUUAUUACAGGCUUACUAUAAAAAUAUUGAAUAUCUUAUUUUAAAAAUAAAUUAUAGUUGAUUUAUUGCUAUAAAUAGAUGGCAUAGCCAAGAAUGAUAGCACACAGCUGUAAUCCUAGCUACUUGGGAGGCUGAGAGAGGAGGAUCAAAAGUUCGAGGCCAGCCUGGGUAACUUAGUAAGAUCCUGUCCUCACACAAAAGAUAAUUAGGACUGGGAUAUAGCUCAGGGGUAAGGUGUCCCUGGGUUCAAUCUCCUGUACUGAAAUAAAUAAAUAAAUGGCAUAAUGAUAUUCGCAUGCAUUUAUAUUCUAAUAUUUUUUUUCUGGAUUUGAUGUAAAACAGGUAGGUGGCAGUAAAGCAGAGAGCUGGGUAAGUUACAUAUUUUACCUAAGCUGUGGCAAUCAUGAGCAACUUUUACUAUUGAACUGCCCUUCACAGUGAUGAUUUCAAUGUGUCAGAGUGAUUUAUUUCCCUGAAGUAAUUUAAGUUUUAUCAACAUGUGCUAUACUCAUAGGAGUGUUUUACACAUGUGACAUGGCAUCUACCUUAUGUAAUGGAAAAUAUUUGAGAACCAGGGCAUGAGGCCAUAUGCUGAGAUGUGUGUACUUUGUUAUUGUAUAUAUUGUAUAUCUUUUCUCUCUAAACAGAAUUGGUUAUGUUUAGUGAAUAGUUUGAUGUUCUCAGUGUGUUUAUAUAUAUAUUUGUACAUACCUGAAGGGGUGUGGGUGUGUUUAUACAUAAAUGCAUAUAUAUGAGCAUUUAAAGGUCUUUAUCAGGGCUGUUUUUGUUUCUGAUUUCAUGAAUACUUUAAAACCCAUGAGGUAAAACAUUAUGUGUAUUACAGGGUAACCUACCCUUGAGUUUAUAGCAAUUUAGUUUAUAGAAAGGAUUCCUGUAACAAGGGUUGCCUCUUCUAUUCAAUAUUAUAUGAAUUGUUAAGAGCGUAUAAAGUAUCAUUGUUGAACUUGACUGACUUUUCUAUACCGUUAGUGAAGAAACCAAGACUAGUGUUAGGUAACUGGCAUGUCGAUGCAACCUAUACAUGCUUCAUAUUUAAUUAGCCUCCUGAUUCACUUAUUUAAUUAGAAAAUUAUUUAGUUUCAAGUUGGAUUUCUUUGUUUUUAUAUUUAAUGAUGACUUGCAUAUAAGUUCUUUUUCAUGAAAAUAGUAGCUAAGCCAAUGUGAUUUUAAAUAUGUCAGGUGACUAAAACUUAGUGACUCAUUAAGAUUUGGGGGAUUUUUCCCUUAAAAUACACUGAUGCUUGGUUAAAUGUUGUUACUUUUCUCCUGGAUAUUUGCUAUUAGGCGAAAAACUAUUCAGUUUGAUUCUUCUGGAGAAUAAUCAAUUCAUUGAGGUUAUGGGGUACUGCAGUGGUGUGGCAUUUGCCCAGGUCACUAGAGUCCUUACUGUUUCAUCACCUAGAAUGUCCUGGUCACCUGGAUGAGUGACACAGCUUCGCCACAUGCCUUAUUCCCCCUGAUGUGUUGAUGUGCUGGAACAAUCUGGGAUCUGGGAGUAUUAAUAUACUUUUUUGAGACUGUCUAGAAAAUACUAUUUUGUAAAAACUAUGCCUUUAAAUAGACAUUGAUGGGUUAUAUUUGUUUUAUAAUAAUUGUGUACCAAAUGUUCAAUUGUGAUUGAUUUUGAGAUUACAUAUAAAUGUAUAUUUAUAAGCCUGUUCUAUGUGAAUUUUUACUCAGACAAUGUGGUACAUUAAUUACUAAAAAGACAUGGAUUUCUAUUUAUGUAAAGUAAUGGUAACAAUACUCCUAAAUGCUGCCUAAUGAUUAUUCUGUCCCUUUGCUAUCAUACUUUUAUCUUUAGAGGAUUAUGUUAUUGUCAGAAUAUAUUAACGAGAUUUAAAAUAUAAAUUCUCAACAUAGUUUGAAAUUCU
rnacentral:lncRNA from 1 species